UUACAAAGUCAGAAAGGUCAAGAAUAUUUAUAAACUUUAUGGAAUACAUUUGAUGGAAGGCUUCGAUGUUCGAUGUUAGCAUCAGUUUGUCAUUAGUAACUGCCGUUGUAGCAUAUGAACCCGGAAAUGCUGCAAGUCAGGACUAGCUUCCUGUUUACAUUGGCGCCUCCUACAAACAACCAAUCAUAGACCUUCUUCUUCAUUAUAAUUUGCGCGCCAUCAUAGUACUUCUUACACCCAUUGGCUGCCGAAACAACGAAAACUGAGCAGCGACGCUGUUUACUGUAAAGUUCUCUACAGUUCCACACUGAGCCAACAGGCCAUCCAACAUCUGCCAUCGAGUCGAGAAAAACAACAGAAAGGAAGAUUCAUUUUUGGUCACAGGACAACAUCGAAAUUCCUCAACUUCAGCUUGAACUUGUACCAAAAGUGACAAGGAGAGAAAGGAGCGGGAAACGGGAACUCACUUCCCACUGGAGAUGCGGUGGAAUGUUUCUGAUCUGCAGUCUUCUGGUCCUGUUGACAGAAAAGAGAGGAAAGAUGUUAGCAUUUUUACUGUUCUGACCAAUAGGGUCAUAGCCAUUUUCAAGCUAAAAGACAGAUAGUCAUAUUUUCUUUUCGGCAAAUGAGUGAACGAAAUGUAGUAAGAAGAGUUGCUGAUGUAAGAUGUGACACCUAAUCAAACAUUUCAUAUCAACAUUCAUGUCAAAAAAAGCAUACACAUUUGGAAAGGCGCUACGACCUUCAUGAGUAUUUGCUUUGACUGAUCGAAAAAAAGGAAAUGUCUAUGGCAGGGGUGUCCUAACUUUUUCUACUUGAUCUACUGUAUACAUCUUUAUAUCGUACACGCAGGUAGUUUAUCAUAUUUAUAUAUGCUACUAUAUGUAUGUAUGUACUGCAUAUACUUUAUCAUCCUUACAUGGUACAUCUGUCAUGUUUAUAUAGCAUAUGCAUAUAUCAUAUCAUGUUUUUAUGGUACUGUAUAAUAUUUAUAUAACAUGUAUAGUUUAUACAUAGUGUAUGUAUUUAGUAUAUCAUGUUUAUGAAGUAUAUCUAUACCUUAUAGUUUAUUAUGCUUGUACUUUAUGUUUAUACAUGUAUAUAGUUUGUCAUCUUUAUGUAGUAUAUGUACAUAGUUUAUCAUGUAGUAGUAUAUGUAUAUAUUUUAGCAUGUUUACAUAGGAUAUGUAUUUAGUUGAUAUAGUUGUGCCCUGUGAUUGGCUGACCACCAGUCCAGGGUAUACCCCGCUUCUCGCCCAAAGACAGCUGGGAUAGGCUCCAGCACCUCCGUGACCCUCGUGAGGAUAAGCAGUAGAAAAUGAAUGGAUGUUUAUAUAGUUUAUCAUGAUUAUGUGGUAUAUGUAUGUAGUUUAUUAUGUUUGUAUUGUACAAUCUUUAUAUAGUUUAUCAUGUUUACAUGGUAUAUGUACUUUAUUAGUUUGUAUUGUAAAAUGUUUAAAUUGUUUCUGUAUAUCGUUUAUCUACCUUGGUUAACUGAAGAGUGUAAAUUGUCCAUAAGUAUGACCAUGUUUGUCUAUAUGUGUCCUGUGAUUGGCAAAUAAAAUGACAAAUGGAUAAUAUAGAUAUAUAGAUAGCUAGAUACAGAAACAAUAAAACAGAUCUAGACACAUACGUAGAACUAGACACAUAGAAUCAAACAUAGAUAUAGACACAUAAAAUGACACAUAGCUCCUGGCACACAUGCAACCAGACACAUAUGAUUAAACAUAGAUCUAGAUGCAUAGAGUGACACAUGACUCUAGAUAUAUGGAAUGGCACGUAGAACUAGACACAUAGAAUCAAACAUAGACAUAGACACAUAGAAUGACACAUAACGCCUGACACACAUGCAACCAGACACAGUUGAUUAAAC